GCAUUUAAAAUGUUUCACGUGAUUAAACACGGAAAUAAACGUUAUUACUUCUGUUUCUUAGGCCUGUGCUCCUCUAACUGAUUCUUCUUUUGUGCCUGGAACAACGCCUUUAAUUUGAAAACAAAGCUAUUAAGAAUGGCAAAGGAUUGCAUAGCAAGAAGGAAGUGCCUAUCCACCGUGUUGCAGAUAUAUCUGGGGAUACCCAAAAAGCAAAGCAGUUCCUGCCUUUUCUUCAGCGGGCAGGUCGUUCUGAAGCUGUGGUGGAAUACGUCUUCAGUGGUUCUCGUCUCAAACUCUAUUUGCCAAAGGAAACUUGCCUUAUCACCUUCUUGCUUGCAGGUGGAGGUGGAGGUGGAGAGCAUGGACAAGGCCGGCAACUUUAUCGGCUGGCUGCACAUCGAUAGCGCCAACCUGUCCGUCCUGCUGGUGGAGCACGCACUCUCCAAGGUCCACUUCACUG
rnacentral:sRNA from 1 species